GAGUGCGUAAUAGCUCACUGGUCGAGUGAUUCUGCGCCGAAGAUGUAACGGGGCUAAACAUACAACCGAAGCUUGGGAUGUAGAAAUACGUGGUAGGGGAGCGUUCUGUGGUAGGGUGAAGCGACAGCGAAAGCGGUCGUGGACAAAGCAGAAGUGAGAAUGCCGGAAUGAGUAGCGAGAAUUAUGUGAGAAUCAUAAUGGCCGAAAGUCUGAGGUUUCCGGGGGCAGGUUCGUCCGCCCCGGGUAAGCCGGAGCUAAGGUGAGGCCGAAAGGCGUAACCGAUGCACAUACGGUAGAAAUUCCGUAGCCAUCGAAAUUGUUAAGUAAGAGGACGCUUGCAGAUAGCAUAACCCCGCCGUUGGUUGAGUGGGGCGAAAGGGACCGAAAUCUAGUAGGGAAGUAUGCGAUGCUGUGAGACGAGAAAAGUCUUAUGUAUUGAUGAGAUGACCGUACCGCAAACCGACACAGGUAGACGAGGAGAGAAUCCUAAGGCCAGCGAGAGAAAGGUUGUUAAGGAACUCGGCAAAUUGAACCCGUAACUUAGGGAUAAGGGUUGCUCACGAAAGUGAGUCGCAGUGAAAAGGCCCAGGCGACUGUUUAGCAAAAACACAGGUCUCUGCUAAAUCGAAAGAUGAUGUAUAGGGGCUGACGCCUGCCCAGUGCUGGAAGGUUAAGGAGAGAUGUCAGAGCAAUCGAAGCAUUGCCCCGAAGCCCCAGUGAACGGCGGCCGUAACUAUAACGGUCCUAAGGUAGCGAAAUUCCUUGUCAGGUAAGUUCUGACCCGCACGAAUGGCGUAACGAUCUGGGCACUGUCUCAACAGCCUGCUCGGUGAAAUUGUAGAACUGGUGAAGAUGCCAGUUACCCGCGAUUAGACGGAAAGACCCCAUGGAGCUUUACUGCAGCUUGAUACUGGGUUUUGAUGAUAGAUGUACAGGAUAGGUGGGAGACUAAGAAGCACGGGCGUCAGCUUGUGUGGAGUCGUCGUUGGGAUACCACUCUUCUAUUAUUGGAAUUCUAACCUGUUCCCGUGAAUCCGGGAAGGGGACACUGUCAGGCAGGCAGUUUGACUGGGGCGGUCGCCUCCAAAAGAGUAACGGAGGCGUUCAAAGGUUGGCUCAGCAUGGACGGAAACCAUGCAUAGAGUGUAAACGCGUAAGCCAGCCUAACUGCGAGAGAGACAUUUCGAGCAGUAACGAAAGUUGGAGUUAGUGAUCCGGUGGUA
rnacentral:rRNA from 1 species